rnacentral:rRNA from 1 species
GGGGGGGGGGGGGGGGGGGGGGGGGGGGGGGGGGGGGGGGGGGGGGGCGCGGGGGGGGUGGGGGGCGCGAGGGGCGAACGGGUGGGUGAGGCGUGAGUGACCGGCCCUUGACUUUGGGAUGGCUUCGGGGAGCUGGGGCUGAGACGGGAUGGGGGGGCCGGCUGCAUGGUGGGGGUGGGAAAGGUUGGGCGGUUGGGGAGGGGCUCGCGGCGUCUCAGCGUGUUGGUGGGGUAGUGGCUUACCAAGGCGGUGACGGGUAGCCGGCCUGAGAGGGUGACCGGCCACAUUGGGACUGAGAUACGGCCCAGACUCCUCCGGGCGGCAGCAGUGGGGAAUAUUGCACAAUGGGCGGAAGCCUGAUGCAGCAACGCCGCGUGCGGGAUGACGGCCUUCGGGUUGUAAACCGCUUUCGCCUGUGACGAAGCGUGAGUGACGGUAAUGGGUAAAGAAGCACCGGCUAACUGCGUG